rnacentral:rRNA from 1 species
UACGUAGGCAGCAAGCGUUGUUCGGAGUUACUGGGCGUAAAGAGUGCGUAGGCGGUGCCCUAGAUCUGUUGUGAAAUCUCCCGGCUUAACUGGGAGGGUGCGGUGGAAACUGGGGUGCUUGAGUGUGGGAGAGGUUAGCGGAAUUCCUGGUGUAGCGGUGAAAUGCGUAGAUAUCAGGAGGAACACCGGUGGUGUAGACGGCUAACUGGACCACGACUGACGCUGAGGCACGAAAGCGUGGGGAGCAAAAGGG